AUGUACCCACGUACACUCCGGUUCCUCCGCGCCGUCCGCACCCACCUCACGGCUGCUCGCUACGUUUUGUUAGCC
rnacentral:sRNA from 1 species